rnacentral:rRNA from 1 species
UACGGAGGGUGCAAGCGUUGUCCGGAAUCACUGGGCGUAAAGGACGCGUAGGCGGGAUGGCAAGUCGGUCGUGAAAUCCUUCGGCUCAACCGAAGAACGUCGAUCGAUACUGCUGUUCUUGAGGGUUGCAGAGGAGACUGGAAUUCCCGGUGUAGCGGUGAAAUGUGUAGAGAUCGGGAGGAACACCGGUGGCGAAGGCGGGUCUCUGGGCAAUUCCUGACGCUGAGGCGCGAAAGCGUGGGGAGCAAACGGG